UCGAGGAUAUUUAGCAAUGGGCGAAAGCCUGACUAUGUGACGCCGCGUGAGGGAUGAAGGUCUUCGGAUUGUAAACCUCUUUCGAUGGGAAAGAAACUUUUGGGGUUACUCCCAAAACUGACGGUACCCAGAGAAGAAGCCAUGGCCAACUCUGUGCCAGCAGCCGCGGUAAUACAGAGAUGGCGAGCGUUACUCGGAUUUAUUGGGUGUAAAGGGCAGGUAGGCGGCUAUGUAAGUUGGGGGUGAAAUCCUGUGGCUCAACCACAGAACUGCCUUCAAAACUGCAUGGCUUGAGGUCGAAAGAGGAAAGCGGAAUUCCCGGUGUAAGAGUGAAAUCUGUAGAUAUCGGGAGGAACACCAGUGGCGAAGGCGGCUUUCUGGUUCGACCCUGACGCUAAGCUGCGAAAGCUAGGGGAGCAAACAGG
rnacentral:rRNA from 1 species